GACUGCGGCUAGCACAAUCUUUAAAAGACAUCCUGUAACUUUAUAGUGUAUAUGAAAACAUAGCCUCGAAAGAAAAAGCAAGCAGGGGAAGGGCUUGCGCCCAGUCCCCCCAAACCGCAUCGCUGCGAGGGUCCACUUUUUCUUUCAAAAGACUACAAAAGGUGCACAAGAGAAGAUAAAUAGAAUGGAACGAGCACAUGCUCAGUGAAGAGCCAGCAUCAGAACCAACGUAUUCAAUAAUGAUCCUUCCGCAGGUUCACCUACGGAAACCUUGUUACGACUUUUACUUCCUCUAAAUUGACCAAGA
rnacentral:misc_RNA from 1 species